UACGGAGGGUGCGAGCGUUUGUCCGGAAUCACUGGGCGUAAAGGGCGCGUAGGCGGCGCGGGCAGUCAACGGUGAAAGCUCGGGGCUCAACCCCGAGUCGGCCGUCGAUACUCCCGUGCUUGAGCACUGUAGAGGCAGGUGGAAUUCCGGGUGUAGCGGUGGAUGCGUAGAGAUCCGGAAGAACACCGGUGGCGAAGGCGGCCUGCUGGGCAGUAGCUGACGCUGAGGCGCGACAGC
rnacentral:rRNA from 1 species